rnacentral:piRNA from 1 species
AGAUAAGUACAGUACUUUCUGAGUCC